CAUAGCGACUAUCGUGGCAUAUCAAUAAGCGGAGGAAAAGAAACUAACAAGGAUUCCCCUUAGUAACGGCGAGUGAAGCGGGAAGAGCUCAAAUUUGAAAUCUUCAAGGGUUUACCUUUACGAAUUGUAGUUUAAAGAAGUGUUUUCUGUUGGAGUUUUCGGUAAAAGUUCUUUGGAAUAGGACAUCAUAGAGGGUGAGAAUCCCGUAUUUGACCAGUUACUUUCCAGCUGUGUGAUACACUUUCAAAGAGUCGGAUUGUUUGGGAAUGCAGUCCAAAAUGGGUGGUAAAUUUCAUCUAAAGCUAAAUAUUGGCGAGAGACCGAUAGCGAACAAGUACCGUGAGGGAAAGAUGAAAAGAACUUUGAAAAGAGAGUUAAACAGUACGUGAAAUUGUCAAAAGGGAAGCGUUUGACACCAGUGUUGUUUAGUUGAAAAUCAAUUCAAUAAUUUUUGAUUUUAAGUAGUAUUGACUUCAUCAGCUUGCUGCUUUCUUUUCAGGAAUUAUUGAAUGCACUUUUCAGUUAACAGGUCAACAUCAAUUUCUUUUGUUGUAAAAGGGUAAGAGGAAGGUGGCUUACGCUUCGGCGUAAGUGUUUAUAGCCUUUUACCUCUGCAAUCGGAGAGAUUGAGGACAGCAGCGUAGACUCUUCGGGGUUAGAUACACUUGUGCUAAGCUAUAGCCUUGUAUAGACAACUUGUUGACUAUGCUCAGUCAUGUAGCUUACUCGCUUGUGCUAUUUUACCUACGCUUAGGAUGUUGACGCGCGUGUGUGCGUG
rnacentral:rRNA from 1 species